CAUGCACGCGAACCCUAGCGCGAGGCUGCCGGCCAGGGGAUCCAUCACGUGGUCAGUGGCAAGGCUGCAAGAACCGAAGCUCGAGGCAAGAGUGUCCGCAAGGGUACUGCGCUGCAACUCUAGCGACGGCAGCGACUGAUCAGCUGGCUCCUCCACUUCGCUAGUUUCCACCAUGUCGUCCGCCAUGUCGAGCGCCGCCAGCUCCUUCCUUGCGGCAGCAGCGAGGAAGCCGCCGCGCCGGAGCUCCCUCCAGCGGUGCUUCAUGACGCGCGAUGUGCGGCCGUAAACGGCCCGGCCAAUCUCCUUCCAGCGGUCGCCGAGGCGGUAGUGGAGGCGCAGGAGCUCGUCGUCGUCGCGGGCGGUGAAGGGGCGGUGGUAGACGUCGCGCGGGCGAGGUGGUGGCGCCACCUGUCGCGGCACGACCUAGCGGAGCGGCGUGGCAUGCUCCUGGCGACCCGGCUCCAGCGGCGGAAGCCGUUCUCCUUGGCGAGGCGCUGCAGCCGCGCGUCCUCCUCCGGCGUCCAUGCCGGCGGCAGCUUGAGGCGGACGAUGCACCUCGCGCGAGGCGGCGGCGGCAGCGGUGGCGUCGCCAUGAUCACCUCCUGAUCCAUCGCGACCUCUCAA
rnacentral:sRNA from 1 species